GUUGCACCAGCCAUGACAGAGCCUGUGGAAGUGUAUGUAGUGGUUGCGAUAGUUACCGGAGAACAACACCUACCCUGACGUCGUCUUCCUUCUCCGACCACGGAAUACGGUGAGUUUGGCGCUGCAAGUCCUUGAUCGUAAAGAAUUCCUUUGAAUACGUGUUUUCCUAUACUCACUGCUGUCUGAUAAGCGUACUGCUCCUCAUCGUCGUUUAUUGUAUUCACUCUCACACACCGGAACACCGCUGCCGAUGUCACUUUCGAUGGGAACAAACUUCCGGUCGACGAUGCCAACUCCAUUCUUCCUACAAGGCUACAACACCGUUUAGUAAUUUAGAGCAUAUAUCUCUCUCCAUGCAUGCAAUUAAUGUGUAAAAUAUUUUGCAGAACCUGAUGUUGUGUGGGUGGUGACUUCUCUUGGUCUUUUCGAAUACUCCCUACUUUCCGUCCCUUCAUGACCAGGCUGCCGUCUUUCACGACGCUUGGCGGCGGGGAUCCAAGUGCUCUGAAC
rnacentral:lncRNA from 1 species